CUCGGCCGUGGAGGCCCCCGCCGGGUGCUGAGCGCCCGCCACCGCCCUCUUGGCCUUUUCCCGGUCCCCGCCGCGCGCCUGCUGCUGUCCCCGUGCCCGAGGACUGGGAGGAUGGGGCUGAGCCGCUUGCCUGACUUUUGAUCCGACCAGUAAUCACUUUGCCCGUGUGGCGCGUGGCCCGUUGCCUGAGGCUUCCUGGCGCGUGGGGCUGUUUGGUCCCCUCCGGAGUGCGGUGAGGCGGGCCGAGCCGGGACUGCCUGGGUUUGGGGAUAACGUUCCCAUCUCCACCCCUGUUGCAGCAAGGGAAAUUGAGGCUGAGGGAACUGGGCCCAGGGACGGCGAGCCGUGGCGCCUCUCCAGUCCGGGCCCCGAAGGGCUGCUCGUGGAUGAACCAGACUGAUUUUAAGGGGUGAAGAGGGUGCGUUUCAAUCAGAUGCUCCUGGAACGUCGAAAUUGUCUUCUUUGGAAAGAACCAUCCCCUCUUUGGGCUUCAGAGGCCCAAAUUGAGGCGCAAUGAUGAGAGGAUGUGGUGGUCUACUCUGAUGUCAAUCUUGAGGGCUAGGCUGGACUUGAAUAUUAAAUCGAGC
rnacentral:lncRNA from 1 species